UCCUACGGGAGGCAGCAGUGGGGAAUAUUGCACAAUGGGCGCAAGCCUGAUGCAGCCAUGCCGCGUGUAUGAAGAAGGCCUUCGGGUUGUAAAGUACUUUCAGUGGGGAGGAAGGCGAUGAAGUUAAUAGCUUCGUCGAUUGACGUUACCCGCAGAAGAAGCACCGGCUAACUCCGUGCCAGCAGCCGCGGUAAUA
rnacentral:rRNA from 2 species